GGGGUGAGGGAGGGAGACUGAAGGCACAUGCCUCCUCACGGGACACAAGGUCAGGGGCAGUGAGGAGGGAUAAGAGUACAAUAGAGGGUUGUGUGACACAGAUGGGCAGCCACCCCCCACCCCACCUCCUCUCCAGCACAUGAGGGCUGCGAACUUGAAAGAAUCAAGUGACUCCCUUUGGCAGGCCAAAAGAGAUGCGUCCGCUUGAAGGCCAUGUCAUCUGAAAUUGGCCGAAAGAGCUGUCCUACUUAGGACGGAAACCUCCCAUUUGGGUGUGGAAAAGCGGAGCACUGGGGGGUGGGGUCACAGGGGGAUAUUUCACUGAGGUUAACAAAGUGGUGGCUAGAGAGACUGCGCAGGGAGGUGGGAAGAACAGACUUGGAGGACUGGGAUUUCGGUUUUGUCUCCACCACUUAUUAGCUGAGCAAACGACAGCUGUGAGCUCUAGUUUCUUCACCUGCAAAAAUCCCUGGUGACAGGGGUGCCUGGGUGGGUCGUUAAACGUCUGGCUUCGGCUCAGGUCAUGAUCUCACAGUUGGUGAGUUUGAGCCCUGCAUCGGGCUCUGCGCGGACAGUGUGGAGCCUGCUUGGGAUUCUCUCUCCUGUCAAAUAAGUAAAAAUAAAACUUUAAAGAAAUUUUAAAAACAUCUCAAGUGAUAAGUGGUCCCAUUUAUUGAAUUAUGUGAAUUUUUAAUCUUUACAACAGCACUAAGAAGUAAUUAUUUCUACAUCCAUAAUAUAAAUGAGGAAACUGAGGCUUAGGGAGGUUGAGAACAUUUUCAAAAUUUACAUAAAAUUUACAAACCUCGUGAAUGGCAGCACUGGAAUUCAAACUCAUGUCUUGAUUUAAAAUCUGGUGAUGUUAACCAUUUAUAUCUUCUGCCUCUCUUCCAUGGGUUUGUGUGAAGGACUAAAUGAUGUCCAGUUUUCCUGGAAUGUUGGUAAUUAAUUUGACUACUAACUGCCUAAUUGUUCUGAUAUUUCAAUCUUAGUUUUAGAGAAUAGAUUUGUAUCUGUGUAUUUAUAUUAUUUUUCAAGCAUAAUUACUUUUUAAAUUUUUUCCCUUCUUCUUUAUGUUUUCUUUUGUUCAGUUUAUUUUGCCACAUAAUUGCUUUUUAAGGAAGGGUACAUCUUUUGAACAUCACAAAAACAGAAAACAAUUAGCAUACUCUUGCCAGGGAAGUAUAGAACUUUAUUGACUGUAAUUAUCCAUAAAUGGCCAUGGGAAGGGGCUGUGGACUGGAAGUCUGGGGAAGAGGCUUUAACCCAAGGCUUGGGGGUCACUGUCCUGUGUUUAUCUUAGCCCAGCAGUCCCUUGCAGCAUGAAUAGCCUACGAUUCCUUGUAACUUUAGAAGAGGAUGCAAUCCAGAAGGAUAUAAUUCUAAGUGAAAUUCUGUUGUUGAGUAUUAAUAAUAUGUGGAGGGGCUCUAAGCAAGUAAUAGAUGAGAGACCGAAACUGUGAAUUAAAGAAGAUAAUUUCUAACUUCUUUUCACUUGUGAUGUUCUAUCAUCCAAAUGAUACUACGUUGUAAUCUCAGUGCACUCUGCAGUAUUUCAAAGGAUUUACCUUUGAUCCUUUCUGAUGCUCACAGGGACAAUAUGAAGGGGCGAGGAGAGUGGUUUUAUCUGCUGUCUACGGAUGAAGGAGCUACAGAUGAAGUGGUGGCCAGGUCACUACAUAGUUGGGGACACAGCUGAGAAAGACAGACUUUCUGCCCCCUGCUCUGUCCCCUAUGCCACCUCAUUCCCUGGCUCAGUAAAUAAAUAUUAACUGUUAGAGAACGUUGCUUAAUACAAACUGCAUCUUAUUCUAGUUGGACAGAGGAGUAAUCCUCAGUGAUGAAUUCCUUUUUGGAAAGUUCAAAGUAUUUAGUUCAUCAGUUUUUGAGCCAUCUGUAGGAUCGACAAGGAUAGGACACAUGAUACUUGCAACUUUCUCCCAAUUCAAAAUGACAAAAGCUGGAGAGUGGAUUUUACUUUCUCUUUUCAACUUAAAAAAGACAAGCAGGUAAUAUGUGAGGCUCUUUUUUUUUUUAACUUUUUAUUUAUUUAUUUUUUACUUAUUUUUAGAGAGUGAGAGAGACCAUGCAAGCUGGGAAGAGGGACAGAGGAAGAGUGAGAGAAUCUUAACAUGGUGCUUGACGUGGGAAUCAACACAGGGCUCGAUCCCAUGACCCUGGGACCAUGACCUGAGCUGAAAUCAAAAGUCGGAUGCUUAACUGACUGAGCCACCCAGGUAACCCUGUUAAGCUGUCUUUGACCUAAGACACUUUUCCUAAAACAAUCAUGAGCCUUUGAAGACAUUUAGCAACAAUGACUAAGCAAGUUCUCUUUCAAGUACAUAUACUUAAAUACCAUUGCCUCGUUUGUGGAAAAGAUUCAUUAAUUUUUUUAAAUGUUUAUUUAUUUUGAGGGCGAGCAUGUGCGAGCAGGGGAGGGGCAGAGAGGGAGGGAGAGAGAGAAUCCCAAGCAGGCUCCAUGCUGUGAGCACAGAGCUUGACAUGGGGCUCGAUCUCACAAACCAUGAGAUCAGGACUUGAGCUAAAAUCAAGAGUCGGAUGCUAAACUGACUGAGCUACCCAGGUGCCCCUAGAAAAGGCUCAUUUAACUUUUCACUCUUUAAAAAAAAUUAACGUACUUAGUAUUGGUGAAGUAGGUCACUGUUAUUUUAUAGCAGUUUUACAUGCAUGUAAUAAGAAAAAAUGUGUAUCAGUACAGAAGAGUAUAAAAUGAACGUGAUCUCUAUACCAUUCCUGCCCAGGCUGACACUCCCAACACAAGCACUGUUAACAGCUACUCCUGUCACGUAGUACUUACUAUUGUAAUUGAAAAUAAUAUGCUUACAGCUGUUUCUCAAUUCAUCAGCUUUGGAAAGUGUCUACUGACUUCCAUCUAUGAAAGAUAAGGAAGAAUAUUUAUACUUUCUCCCAACUUUUCUAUCUCCUAAUGUGUGUUAGCUCCAUUAUUUGUAAUUCACUUCAGUAGUUAGUAUUUCUCUUUUUUCUGAAAACUAUAUUUUAAAAAAUUCUUUGUAGCUUUAAUAAUACUCAAACUUCUACAUCUGGAAUUAUUUAUUUAGAUAAGGCACUCUUGAUUCCCAGUCAUGUGAUAGGCUCUACUUCUAAGUUUUUCUUUUAUGGAUAGAUUUACACAUAUACCUAAGUAUAUAUGGAUACAGAUAUAUACACAUGGAAUAUACACAUGGUUAUGGUUUACUGUAUUUAUAUUUGGCUCUGUGAUUAUAAGUAAGUCUUCUGAAGAUUAAAAGAGUUAAUCCAUAUAAAGCAUUCAGCACAGUGCCAGGCACAUAGGUCCUCUGUAACGGCCAGCUAUGAUUAACAACUGAGUAGUAUAGAUGAACCUCCACUGAGAAGGAAAUGUAAUGUUAUUUCAUUGAACUUCUGCGGCUUAAAUGAGAUUCUUCUAAACUUGAAUAACUAAUGGAGUCUUACUCCUCCCUCCAUUCCUUUCCUCCUUUCCUUGCUUCCAUCACUUCCUUUGGGUCAUACUCACCACAGCUUCUUGUUGUCUUUCUUGGAUUACAACUUGUUGGGUUACUCCUUGGAACUUCGGUUUUGUUUUGUAUGGGAAGUAAGCUUUCUGAGCCUUGAGUGUCUAAAAUUGUUUUUAAGUCCUCAAAUUUGAUUAACAGUUUGGCCAAGUUUAAAAUUCUAAGAUCUAUUUUCCCCCCUCAGUAACUUGGAAUACAUUCUGCUAACGAUGCACCAGGGCAGGGUUUGGUCUGUUUGGUUCAUCGAUCUAUCACAAGGACCUAGAAAAGUUUCGAGCACAGAGUAGACACUCUGUGUAUAUAUAUUAUAUUAGGAUUUUUGUUUUGUUCUUAGAAUUCUACAAUUUCACCAGGGUGUCUAGAUGUACUUUUGUUUGCUUUCCCUGCCCUAUAAUUGGUGGGUUUUGUCAACCUAAAAACUCUUUAGUGUAAGGAAAUUUAUUUCACCACUUUCUUGACUAUUUUUCUCCAUGGUCAUCCCCUAUACCUUCUAGAAUCGCCUUUAGAGAAAUAUUAGAUUUCUUUGAGCUACCUUCCAUAUCUUAAUUUUUUCUCAUAUUCUACGUCAUUUCACUUCCUUUAUCUUCCAGGUAACCAACUCGAUCUUCCAUCGUAUUUAUAUUAUUAUUUAGCAAUUCCAUUGGACGUUUUUAUUUUUACUUUCCAACAACUCUUUCAUGUUGUCUGACGGUUUUCUUUUCUUUUCUUUUCUUUUUUAACAUCUAUUUAUUUUUGUGAGACAGAGAGAGACAGAGAAUGAGCAGGGGAGGAACAGAGAGAGAGAGACACACAGAAUCUGAAGCAGGCUCCAGGCUCUGAGCUGUCAGCACAGAGCCCGACACAGGGCUCAAACCCAUGAACCGUGAGAUCAUGACCUGAGCUGAAGUCAGUUGCUUAACCAACUGAGCCACCCAGGCACCCCUGAUGGUUACUUUUCAUCACAAACUAUAAUUGUCUUAAAAGAAUGCAGGUUAUAAAUUCUCCUCAUAUGAAUUAGCAUUUUUAUUGCUCUUAUAUUUGGCUCUGUGAUUAUAAGUAAGCCUUCUGAAGAUUAAAAGAGUUAAUCCAUAUAAAGCACUCAGCACAAUUUAAAAAUUGUUUUAAAUAUUAAUUGUAUUAAUUGGCUAAUAUAGGUGUUAAUGAUGUGAGUGCUCUGUGUGUGCAUCACUAGGUGUUUUUUUUUGUUGUUGUUUAAUAUGCUAAGUGCUUAGGUUGUCUUUUUUCUUCAGCUUCAGUUAUUUAUUUUUCUAAGGCUCUCCCUUUUUGUAUUGUUUGUUCUCACAAGUCUGAGGCUCCCUGCUGUCCUUCUAUACCAACACCUUAAUUUAGUAUCUGGUAGCUUGUGUGGGUUUCCUCUUCGGGGGGUUUUGCGUUAGUCUCUCUACGCUUUUUCACUGGAAUAGAAUGAUGACAGCGGUGGUUGUAGAAGCAGGUGGAGUCUGGAGGCGGGAAGGCCUCCCUGCAGGGUUUCCUGUGGGCAAAGCGCAAACAAGGGGAUCCGGGAACCCAGAGGUUUCCAGGUGGGGGUGCAUCUGAAGUCUGAUGAUUUCCAGUCUGAGUUUAUCACAGACAUUCAGAAUUUCUUCAGUAUCUCCUCUUAGCCACAACAUCCUCAGCAAGAACGCUCUCUGAGCCGAUAGCUGGCUUUCUAGAGGGCAGCGCGUUGGCUUUUAGCCAGAGGGCAAAAGUCCCAGCUGCCAAGCUGUGUUUACACAUGUGGAGGAAAGGGGCCCAGCUGUCUCUAGACACUGCAUCUGGCCCUUUAAUGAGGCCACUGGAGGUGGCCCCACAGCCCAUCAUCUUAUUGAUGACUGAGUGUGAGCUCCCUUGGGGGUGGGGAGGGCACCUUGGGAAGACACAUGCUCAUUUCUUGUGCCCUGGCUUACAGUUUUCUCUGCACUUUCUUUCAGGUCAUCUGUCUGCUUUUCUCUUUCAGAAAUGUCUCAGCACUUUUGGCCAGCUGAUGACGCUUUUUCUCACAUUCUCUCUACAAGAUCUUUUUUGUUACUUUGAUGGGAAUAUGGGAGACAGGAGAGGCAAAUGCAUGUGCUUAAUCUACCACUGUGUACACACACACACACACACACACACACACACACACACACACAAAACACAUGUGCAUUUGAAAAGAUACAAUAACACAUCCAGUUAAUCCUUUGUGGGGAAGAUGAAGUCCUAUAAAUUGACAGAAUCAAUCUCUCAAUUCUUUACUUGGUUCUAGUGUUUUGCCCAGUUUAUGCUUAUUUAGAAUAUUUCAUACUGAACAAUGUGUCAGGAAUUAUAAAGUCUGAAAAUAAAAAAAAACUUUUAAAGUGACAUUUUAGAAUAUUUUCUAAAAUUAUUUGUACAUCAAAUGAAGUAUCUGGUCAUUGUUGCUUUUCCAGUUCCCUUACUCAUGGAUCAAGGCUGGAGUCCCCCCACUCCACAGCAAGUCCAUGGGCCGCUGGCCGAGGCACUGUUUUAGGCAUAAUUCUGAAAGGAGCACUGUUCAGCUCUUAGAUCCUCGGGGCAUAUCAAUGUCAUUUGCAUUCUCCUGAUUCCAAUUCCUUUCCUGAGAAAUUCCUUGAACAAGUGUUUAACUUACAAACAACAAAAAGUUUUUAUUAAGGGGCAUCUAGGCGGCUCAGUUGGUUUAGAAUCCAACUCUUGAUUUUGGGCUCGGUGCUAAGUGUGGAGCCUGUUUAAGAUUCAUUCUCUCUCUCUCUCUCUCUCUCUCUCUCUCUCUCUCUCUCCCCCGCUUCUAAAAUAAAAGAAAAAGAAAAAAUGCACUAAAAACCCCCAAAACUGAACCCAAACUCUGAAAUGAGCAACAUGGCCAAAUCUGGGCUCCACAGUGCCCUAACUCUGCCCUAUGGGCAAAUGACUUAAAACUUUCUAAGCCUUACUUUCUGAAUUUGAAAAUGGCCAUAAUAAUAGUACCUACACCUACACAGGCUGAUUUUGAGAAUUAAGAGAAUGUGUUAAUUCCCUUAGCACGGUUCCGAACACAUAGUAAGGGCGUCAUUAGAGGUUAGUAGUUAACAUUCACAAAUAAUUCACAGCUACAUCACAGAACAGUUCUGUAAUAGACCAUCAAUCCCUUCUUGUGAAGAUACUGAUAAAAUAUAGGAAAAUAUUUAUUUCCUUGUUCCAUCUGCUUGGUCUUUUGGCACGUUUUUUUAUUGCAGUAAAAUAUAAAUAAUAUAAAUAAAUAAUACAUAUAAAUAAAUAAAAUAAUAUGAAUAUAAAAUUUACCAUUUUUAAGUGCACAGUUCAGUGGCGUAAGUACAGUCACAUCUUGCAGAACUGAAUCUCUGUACCCAUCAGACAACAAGUCCCCAUCUCCCCUAAUCCUUGGAAACUACCGUCUGCUUUCUGUCUCUGUGACUCUGAUUGCUGUGGAUACUCCACAUGAAGGGAAUCCCACAAUAUUUGUCCUUUUGUGACAGGCUUAUUUCACUUAGUAAAAUGUCCUCAACGUUCAAUGUAGCAUGUGUGAAUUUCACUCCUUUUCCAUCAUAUGUAGAGACCACGUUUUGCUUAUCUGUUUAUCUGGUGAUGAACACUGGUUGCUCCCACUUUUAGGCUAUUAUGAAAAAUGCUGCCAUGAACACGGUGUACGUUCUGCCCAAGUCCCUGCUUUCAUUCCCUUUGGGUGUGUACCCAGAGGGGAGGUGCUGGGUCAUAUGGCAGCAGCUUUUUUUGUUCAUUCUUCUCAUUUGGUAUCCCAUGUCAGUUUGCACUCUUGUGUUUGAGAGAUUUAUGUCACACACCAGAUUUGUUUUUUUCUUUGUAUCCCAAGUAUGCUGAUGCAGCUUUUCUAAUUUUUUUUUAAUGUUUAUUUAUUUCUGAGACAGAGAGACAGAGCAUGAGUGGGGGAGGGGCAGAGAGAGAGGGAGACACAGAAUCAGAAGCUGGCUCCAGGCUCCGAGCUGUCAGCACAGAGCCCGAUGUGGGGCUCAAACUCACAAACCUUGAGAUCAUGACCUGAGCUGGAGUCGAUCGCCCAGCCAACUGAGCCACCCAAAUGCCCCCAGAUGCAGCUUUUCAAAGAGGGGAGACAGAGUCUCUUGCUAAGCUGGACCAGGUGAUGACUCACCUGGCGGGAUCUGCUCACCAGUCCCAAGGGCUCCUCUGGGGAUGAGGUGUCCUCUCUGUGGCGCUGUUUAUUUAAGACAG
rnacentral:lncRNA from 1 species